GCCUCGGUGGUGUAGUGGUUAGAGCACGCGUCCACGGAUAGGAUGGAACGCGUGUUUCGAUUCCCGCCUGAGGCC